AACGUAGGUAACCUGCCCAUGUGUCCGGGAUAACUGCUGGAAACGGUAGCUAAAACCGGAUAGGUAUACAGAGCGCAUGCUCAGUAUAUUAAAGCGCCCAUCAAGGCGUGAACAUGGAUGGACCUGCGGCGCAUUAGCUAGUUGGUGAGGUAACGGCCCACCAAGGCGAUGAUGCGUAGCCGGCCUGAGAGGGUAAACGGCUACAUUGGGACUGAGACACGGCCCAA
rnacentral:rRNA from 1 species